rnacentral:rRNA from 1 species
UCCAGACUCCUACGGGAGGCAGCAGUGGGGAAUAUUGCACAAUGGGGGAAACCCUGAUGCAGCGACGCCGCGUGAGUGAAGAAGUAUUUCGGUAUGUAAAGCUCUAUCAGCAGGAAAGAAAAUGACGGUACCUGACUAAGAAGCCCCGGCUAACUACGUGCCAGCAGCCGCGGUAAUACGUAGGGGGCAAGCGUUAUCCGGAUUUACUGGGUGUAAAGGGAGCGUAGACGGUGAAGCAAGUCUGAAGUGAAAGGCGGGGGCUCAACCCCCGGACUGCUUUGGAAACUGUUUGACUGGAGUGCAGGAGAGGUAAGUGGAAUUCCUAGUGUAGCGGUGAAAUGCGUAGAUAUUAGGAGGAACACCAGUGGCGAAGGCGUCUUACUGGACCGAAACUGACGUUGAGGCUCGAAAGCGUGGGGAGCAAACAGGAUUAGAUACCCGCGUAAA